rnacentral:rRNA from 1 species
CCAGCAGCCGCGGUAAUUCCAGCUCCGCAAGUGUAUUCCUAUACUGUUGCGUUUAAAUAGCUCGUAGUUGGAUCUGCGUGUUUAGCGCGCGGUGCUGCUUUUCGCAGUUACUGUGACGCGACACUGUACGCUGACUUCGUAUUCAUUGAGUAUGCUGUCAGCAAGUUUACUUUGAACAAAUCAGAGUGCUCAAAACGGGCGUUUCGCUCGGAUGUUCUUGCAUGGAAUAAUAGAAUAGGACCGCGCGUUCUAUUUUGUUGGUUUUCGGGACGCGGGUAAUGAUUAAGAGGGACAGACGGGGGCAUUUGUACUGCGACGUGAGAGGUGAAAUUCUUGGAUCGUCG